GACGAACGCUGGCGGCGUGCUUAACACAUGCAAGUCGAACGGUAAGGCCCUUCGGGGUACACGAGUGGCGAACGGGUGAGUAACACGUGGGUGAUCUGCCCUGCACUUCGGGAUAAGCCUGGGAAACUGGGUCUAAUACCGGAUAGGACCACUGCCUGCACGGUGUGUGGUGGAAAGCUUUUGCGGUGCGGGAUGGGCCCGCGGCCUAUCAGCUUGUUGGUGGGGUAAUGGCCUACCAAGGCGACGACGGGUAGCCGGCCUGAGAGGGUGACCGGCCACACUGGGACUGAGAUACGGCCCAGACUCCUACGGGAGGCAGCAGUGGGGAAUAUUGCACAAUGGGCGCAAGCCUGAUGCAGCGACGCCGCGUGAGGGAUGACGGCCUUCGGGUUGUAAACCUCUUUCAGCAUCGACGAAGCGAAAGUGACGGUAGGUGCAGAAGAAGGACCGGCCAACUACGUGCCAGCCGCCGCAGUAA
rnacentral:rRNA from 1 species